rnacentral:rRNA from 1 species
UACAGAGGUCCCGAGCGUUGUUCGGAUUUAUUGGGCGUAAAGGGCGCGUAGGCGGCGGGGUAAGUUGGGUGUGAAAUCCCGAGGCUCAACCUCGGAAUUGCAUUCAAUACUGCUUCGCUCGAGUACUGGAGAGGAGGCUGGAAUUUACGGUGUAGCAGUGAAAUGCGUAGAUAUCGUAAGGAAGGCCGGUGGCGAAAGCGAGCCUCUGGACAGUUCCUGACGCUGAGGCACGAAGGUCAGGGGAGCAAACGGG